AUGACCGAUGCUUUGUCAAGGGCUCAUAUGAGAGAAGAAAAGGAGGCUGGAGAUGCAGAGAAAGAAGCUCUAAGCUCAACAAAGGCAUCAGUUGCACAAGAGCAUUCAGAAACAUCCAUUUUCCCUGAUUUUUGGUUUGACAAGGAUGAAAACGUCGGCAUUAGAGUCGUGGUCGUGGCAGGGAAGGCGAACCCAGCGCAGCUCUGCCAGUGGCUCAAGAGGAAGAUAAGCAAGGAUGUCAAGAUUUUCCGCCGUUGUCCACACGGGCUGAGAAUUCCGUGUGGGGUUAAGGUGCUUGCCGCCGGCGACCUGCGUGGCUCUCGGCCUGCAUCCUCGCUGAACUCAACACCAACUAUCGCGCGCCCGCGAUGUGACUGCUGUUGCAACAACGACGGCCAACGGCUAUUGAACGACGAGGAUGCCCUUCGGGGUUAUAGCAUGCAAAGCAAAGCAGUUGCUCGAUCCUCACAGCCAAUAUAUCUCCGUGUAGAAGCAGAAGAAGCAGCAAUUGAUUCUAGUUCUAGUUGCACACAUAGUUGUUUUCAGUUGGACACGAUCAUUGGAAAGUUGCACACACGGCGAUCAUUUUUGGGUGGCAUCUAUAAAGGACUAAUUAAGCAUUGGCAUGCUCAACUUUCUCAGUUGCUCAACGUUGCCAUCUUCAAGUUUUUUAGAAUUGUCCCAAGAGGAACUGAAUUUCUUAUGCUUUUACUUGAUCUUCCUUCUCUGCUCAAAAUCAUGGAGUUUUUUUUACUUGAUUUGGGAGAUUCAGAGGGAAAGGACAAGGGGUAUAGUCAACAAGGUUUGGACAUGGGAGAGGAGAAGGAUUUCUUACCUUGGCGUUGCUUGCUCUACAGGAUCUGGUUCAUGGCAUUGUAUCUGGUUUCUUUCAUGGGGAAGAAGUUGACGACCAGCGAAGGAGAGAGGCCAAUCUAUCCAACUGCUUGUGUGUGGCCGGCCGAGGUGGGACUAAACAACAACGGGCAGCGCCUCGUGGUUCUAAAGGUACGCACGUACAAGCACCGGUCAAACAGCAGCCUCAUCACACUAGAGAAAGAAGCCCACAACGGCUUGUCUGCUUGGGCCUUGCAUGCAAUAAUUUUUCGCAAUAAAAUAUCACCCCCGAUGGACUGA
rnacentral:rRNA from 1 species